GGCUCAGCUUUUGCUAUUACCUAAUCAAAGGUAACCAAAGGCGGUUAUCCAUAACGACAAAGGCGUCGC
rfam:Pseudomonadales bacterium RIFCSPLOWO2_12_59_9 rifcsplowo2_12_sub10_scaffold_98, whole genome shotgun sequence.